AAAUUUCUGGCAUUUAAAGGAGCAGAUGUGACGGAUGGUGAAGAGAACUGUAUGCACCAUCCUCUUGUUUGCUUAUGCGUGGUGCAGAGUCUUUGGAGAAUAGAAUAAAGGUAAAAAUUACCCGCAAAAAUGUAAUAAUCCUAAUACGUGUUCCUUGCCUUCCUUUAGGUUACUGAGAGGAAUAAGUCCAAGUUCCUGUUUCUUAAUGUCCAUGAGCAUCAGCCGGCCCAUAGCAGCCAGUAUAGACCAUUUGUCCUGGGUUCUGUCCAGAAUUCUGAUGCAGUGUUACGCUUAUGGGAUUCCCAGGCAGAAGGCAAGGCACAGUGCAGGAUCUCUCCAACUCUCCUGACUGUCCCACAGGUUGUGGAAAAUGAUCAUGGAAUCAUAGGCUGGUUUAAGUUUGAAGGAACAUCAAAGAUCAUCUGGUCCCAACCACCUACCGUGGGCAGGGCUGCCACCCGCUAGAUCGGAAUGCCCAGGGUCCCAUCAACCUGGCCUUCAAUGCCUCCAGGCAUCCACAGCCUCUCCAGGCAGCCUGUGCCAGUGCCUCACCACCCUCUGUGUAAAGUGUUUCUUCCUAACAGCUAACCUAAAUUGUCCCUCUUUUAUUCUGCAUGGGAACUGUCAAG
rnacentral:lncRNA from 1 species